rnacentral:rRNA from 1 species
GACGAGCCUCACAAACGUUAUUCGGAAUUACUGGGCUUAAAGGGUGCGUAGGCGGCGCGGAAAGUUGGGUGUGAAAUCCCUCGGCUCAACCGAGGAACUGCGCCCAAAACUACCGUGCUCGAGGGAGAUAGAGGAAUGCGGAACUUAGGGUGGAGCGGUGAAAUGCGUUGAUAUCCUAGGGAACACCGGUGGCGAAGGCGGAUCUCUGGGCCUUACCUGACGCUCAGGUGCGAAAGCUAGGGGAGCGAACAGG